AGAUUGCAAUACAGCAGACAAUGAAAGCCAUGGUGAGACAUGAAUUCGCGAUUAUAUCAGUUUGGAAAAUAUAAACAUCCUAUGAUGAAAAUGGACUAGAAGAUACUGAUAAUAAUAAUUGUUUUAUUCAACAUGGCAAUACAGCAGAUGACUCAAGGAAUGCUGAGACAUUUAUUUGUAUGCAUACAACUUUGGGAAAGUAUGAACAUCCAAUGUUGAAAAUGAACUAAAAGAUACUGAUUAUAAAGAAUUUAUGCAAUAUGCAAAUACAGCAGAUCACUCAAGGGAUGCUGAAACAUUGUUUGGUAUUCAAACAACUCUGGAAAAAUUGCAAUACAGCAGACAAUGAAAGCCAUGGUGAGACAUGAAUUCGCGAUUAUAUCAGUUUGGAAAAUAUAAACAUCCUAUGAUGAAAAUGGACUAGAAGAUACUGAUAAUAAUAAUUGUUUUAUUCAACAUGGCAAUACAGCAGAUGACUCAAGGAAUGCUGAGACAUUUAUUUGUAUGCAUACAACUUUGGGAAAGUAUGAACAUCCAAUGUUGAAAAUGAACUAAAAGAUACUGAUUAUAAAGAAUUUAUGCAAUGUACGUGUAAUGGU